AGAGUUUGAUCCUGGCUCAGGAUGAACGCUAGCGGGUAGGCUUAACACAUGCAAGCCGAGGGGCAACACAGGCAGCAAUACUGGGUGGCGACCGGCAGACGGGUGCGUAACGCGUAUGCAACCUACCCUUAACAAGGGGAUAGCUUGAGGAAACUUAAAUUAAUACCCUAUAGAAUUAAUUUGUUGCAUAACAGAUUAAUUAAAGUUACGACGGUUAAGGAUGGGCAUGCGUGCCAUUAGCUAGUUGGUGAGGUAACGGCUCACCAAGGCCACGAUGGCUAGGGGUUCUAAAAGGAAGAUCCCCCACACUGGUACUGAGACACGGACCAGACUCCUACGGGAGGCAGCAGUGAGGAAUAUUGGGCAAUGGAUGCAAGUCUGACCCAGCCAAUCCGCGUGCAGGAAGACGGCCUUUCAGGUUGUAAACUGCUUUUGUGCGAGAAGAAACGCAGCUACGUGUAGCUGCCUGACGGUAUCGUACGAAUAAGCAUCGGCUAACUCCGUGCCAGCAGCCGCGGUAAUACGGAGGAUGCAGGCGUUAUCCGGAAUUAUUAGGUUUAAAGGGUGCGUAGGCGGCUUAAUAAGUCAGUGGUGAAAUACUUGGGCUCAACCGAAGGACUGCCAUUGAAACUGCUAAGCUUGAAUUCAGAUGAGGUAGGCGGAAUGUGUAAUGUAGCGGUGAAAUGCAUAGAUAUUACACAGAACACCAAUUGCGAAGGCAGCUUACUAAACUGACAUUGACGCUGAUGCACGAAAGCGUGGGGAGCAAACAGGAUUAGAUACCCUGGUAGUCCACGCCGUAAACGAUGAUCACUGGUUGUGUGCGAUAUAAAGUACGUGACUGAGCGAAAGCAUUAAGUGAUCCACCUGGGGAGUACGUUCGCAAGAAUGAAACUCAAAGGAAUUGACGGGGGCCCGCACAAGCGGAGGAACAUGUGGUUUAAUUCGAUGAUACGCGAGGAACCUUACCCGGGCUUGAAUUGCUAAUGACGAUAUCAGAGACGGUAUUUUCCUUCGGGGCAUUAGUGAGGGUGCUGCAUGGUUGUCGUCAGCUCGUGCCGUGAGGUGUCGGGUUAAGUCCCAUAACGAGCGCAACCCUUGUCAUUAGUUACCAGCGGGUCAUGCCGGGGACUCUAAUGAGACUGCCACCGUAAGGUGUGAGGAAGGUGGGGAUGACGUCAAAUCAGCACGGCCCUUACGUCCGGGGCUACACACGUGUUACAAUGGCCGGUACAGAGGGCAGCUACUGGGUAACCAGAUGCGAAUCUCGAAAGCCGGUCUUAGUUCGGAUCGAAGUCUGCAACUCGACUUCGUGAAGCUGGAUUCGCUAGUAAUCGCGCAUCAGCCAUGGCGCGGUGAAUACGUUCCCGGGCCUUGUACACACCGCCCGUCAAGCCAUGGAAGCCGGGAGUACCUAAAGUCCGUAACCGCAAGGAACGGCCUAGGGUAAAACUGGUAACUGGGGCUAAGUCGUAACAAGGUAACC
rnacentral:rRNA from 1 species